rnacentral:rRNA from 1 species
UUGAUAAAAAUUCUGUACACCAUGNNNNNNNNNNUGCCUUCCUCUUUGCCUCCUGCUGUCACUAACAUUUUGCAGGAGUUCACUGACGUCUUUCCACAAGACGUGCCACCGGGAUUACCGCCUAUUCGAGGGAUUGAGCAUCAGAUUGACUUAAUUCCCGGUGCUUCACUGCCAAACCGUGCACCAUACCGUACCAAUCCAGAGGAGAUGAAGGAGAUUAUGCGUCAAGUACAAGAGCUUCUCGACAAAGGUUAUAUACGCGAAUCCCUUAGUCCUUGUGCUGUUCCUAUUAUUCUAGUGCCGAAAAAGGAUGGUACAUCACGUAUGUGUGUUGAUUGUAGAGGCAUUAAUAAUAUUACUAUUCGUUAUCGUCAUCCUAUUCCUAGGCUAGAUGAUAUGCUUGAUGAAUUGAGUGGCUCUACAAUAUUCUCCAAAGUUGAUUUGCGUAGUGGCUACCAUCAAAUUCGUAUGAAAUUGGGAGAUGAAUGGAAAACAACAUUUAAAACUAAGUUUGGAUUAUAUGAGUGGUUAGUCAUGCCUUUUGGGUUAACUAAUGCACCUAGUACUUUCAUGAGAUUAAUGAACGAAGUUUUACGUGCUUUCAUUGGACGAUUUGUGGUAGUUUACUUUGAUGACAUAUUGAUUUAUAGCAGAUCUUUGGAAGAACAUUUGGAACAUUUACGUGCUGUUUUUAUUGCUUUAUGUGAUGCACGUUUGUUUGGUAACCUUGGGAAGUGCACCUUUUGCACCGACCGAGUUUCUUUUCUUGGCUAUGUUGUUACUCCACAGGGAAUUGAAGUUGAUAAAGCCAAGAUUGAAGCUAUUGAGAGUUGGCCGCAGCCCAAAACGGUCACACACGUGAGGAGUUUUCUUGGCCUCGCUGGAUUCUAUAGGCGUUUUGUGAGAGAUUUCAGCACCAUUGCUGCACCUCUCAAUGAGCUUACAAAGAAAGAUGUGCCUUUUCUUUGGGGUACCGCACAGGAAGAAGCCUUCUCGGUAUUGAAAGAUAAGUUGACACAUGCUCCUUUACUCCAACUUCCUGAUUUUAAUAAGACUUUUGAGCUUGAAUGUGAUGCUAGUGGAAUUGGAUUAGGAGGUGUGUUAUUACAAGAUGGCAAACCUGUUGCAUAUUUUUCUGAAAAAUUGAGUGGGCCUAGUCUGAAUUAUUCUACUUAUGAUAAAGAAUUAUAUGCUCUUGUUCGGACUUUAGAAACAUGGCAACAUUAUUUAUGGCCCAAAGAAUUUGUUAUACAUUCUGAUCAUGAAUCUUUGAAACAUAUUAAAAGUCAAGCUAAACUGAAUUGUAGACAUGCUAAAUGGGUUGAAUUCAUUGAGACUUUUCCUUAUGUCAUUAAACACAAGAAGGGAAAAGAAAAUGUUAUUGCUGAUGCAUUGUCUCGCCGCUAUACUAUGCUUUCACAACUUGACUUCAAAAUAUUUGGUUUGGAGACCAUCAAAGAUCAAUAUGUGCAUGAUGCUGAUUUUAAAGAUGUAAUGCAGAAUUGUAAAGAAGGAAGAAUGUGGAACAAGUUCGUCGUUAACGAUGGAUUUGUGUUUCGUGCUAACAAGCUAUGCAUUCCAGCUAGCUCCGUUCGUCUUUUAUUGUUGCAGGAGGCGCAUGGAGGAGGAUUAAUGGGACACUUUGGCGUGAAGAAGACGGAGGACGUACUUGCUACACAUUUCUUUUGGCCAAAGAUGAGACGGGAUGUUGAGCGUUUUAUUGCUCGAUGCACUACAUGUCAAAAAGCUAAGUCACGACUCAAUCCUCAUGGUUUAUAUAUGCCUUUGCCUGUACCUAUUGUUCCUUGGGAGGAUAUAUCUAUGGACUUUGUUUUAGGUUUACCUCGAACAAAGAAGGGGAGGGAUAGCAUAUUUGUUGUCGUGGAUAGAUUCUCGAAAAUGGCACACUUUAUACCAUGUCAUAAAAGCGAUGAUGCUGUUAAUGUUGCUGAUUUGUUCUUUCGUGAAAUUAUUCGCUUGCAUGGUGUGCCAAAUACUAUUGUUUCAGAUCGUGAUACUAAAUUUCUUAGCCACUUUUGGAGAUGUUUAUGGGCUAAGUUGGGGACUAAACUGCUUUUUAGUACUACUUGUCACCCCCAAACUAAUGGACAAACUGAAGUAGUCAAUAGAACGUUGUCUACUAUGCUUAGGGCUGUUUUGAAGAAUAAUAAGAAAAUGUGGGAGGAAUGCUUGCCUCAUAUUGAAUUUGCUUAUAAUCGUUCAUUGCAUUCUACUACUAAGAUGUGCCCUUUUGAAGUUGUGUAUGGUUUCCUACCUCGUGCACCUAUUGAUUUGUUGCCUCUUCCAUCUUCGGAGAAGGUUAAUUUUGAUGCUAAACAACGUGCUGAAUUGAUUUUAAAAAUGCAUGAGUUAACUAAGGAAAACAUUGAGCGUAUGAAUGCUAAAUAUAAACUUGCUGGAGGUAAGGGUAGAAAACAUGUUGUGUUUGCACCUGGAGAUCUUGUUUGGUUACAUUUGCGUAAGGAUAGAUUUCCUAAUUUGCGCAAAUCAAAGCUAAUGCCACGUGCUGAUGGUCCCUUUAAGGUGUUAGAGAAAAUAAAUGAUAAUGCAUAUAAACUUGAGCUGCCUGCAGAUUUUGGGGUUAGUCCCACUUUUAACAUUGCAGAUUUGAAGCCUUAUUUGGGUGAGGAAGAU